rnacentral:rRNA from 1 species
GACGUAGGGCGCAAGCGUUGUCCGGAUUUAUUGGGCGUAAAGAGCUCGUAGGCGGCUUGUUGCGUCGACUGUGAAAACCCGCGGCUUAACCGCGGGCUUGCAGUUGAUACGGGCAGGCUAGAGUUCGGUAGGGGAGACUGGAAUUCCUGGUGUAGCGGUGAAAUGCGCAGAUAUCAGGAGGAACACCGGUGGCGAAGGCGGGUCUCUGGGCCGAUACUGACGCUGAGGAGCGAAAGCGUGGGGAGCGAACAGG